rnacentral:rRNA from 1 species
GACGAACGCUGGCGGCGUGCUUAACACAUGCAAGUCGAACGGAAAGUCCCUGCUUUUUUGCGGUGCUCGAGUGGCGAACGGGUGAGUAACACGUGAGUAACCUGCCCUUGACUUUGGGAUAACUUCAGGAAACUGGGGCUAAUACCGGAUAGGAGCUCCUGCUGCAUGGGGGGGGUUGGACAGUUUCGGCGGUUGGGGAUGGACUCGCGGCGUAUCAGCUUGUUGGGGGGGUAGUGGCUGACCAAGGCUUUGACGGGUAGACGGCCUGAGAGGGUGACCGGCUCCGUUGGGACUGAGAUAAGGCACAGCCUCAUAUGGGACGCAGCAGUGGGGAAUAUUGUACAAUGGGAGGAAGCCUGACGCAGCAAAGCCGUGCGCGGGAUAUGGGGCUGGGGGUUGGAAAGUGAUUUUGUUUGUGAGGAAGCGUGAGUGACGGUAAUGGGUAAAGAAGCCCCGGCUAACUACGUG